UGGGGUGUCGCCAAGGGGUAAGGCAACGGACUCUGACUCCGUCAUUUCGAGGGUUCAAAUCCUUCCACCCCAACCA
rnacentral:tRNA from 2 species